rnacentral:rRNA from 1 species
CCUACGGGCGGCUGCAGUGGGGAAUAUUGGACAAUGGGGGGAACCCUGAUCCAGCCAUGCCGCGUGUGUGAAGAAGGCCCUCGGGUUGUAAAGCACUUUCAGUGAGGAAGAACGCCUGGUGGUUAAUACCCAUCAGGAAAGACAUCACUCACAGAAGAAGCACCGGCUAACUCCGUGCCAGCAGCCGCGGUAAUACGGAGGGUGCGAGCGUUAAUCGGAAUUACUGGGCGUAAAGCGCGCGUAGGUGGCUUGAUAAGCCGGUUGUGAAAGCCCCGGGCUCAACCUGGGAACGGCAGCCGGAACUGUCAAGCUAGAGUGCAGGAGAGGAAGGUAGAAUUCCCGGUGUAGCGGUGAAAUGCGUAGAGAUCGGGAGGAAUACCAGUGGCGAAGGCGGCCUUCUGGACUGACACUGACACUGAGGUGCGAAAGCGUGGGUAGCAAACAGGAUUAGAUACCCCAGUAGUC